rnacentral:rRNA from 1 species
GAUGAACGCUGGCGGCGUGCCUAAUACAUGCAAGUCGAGCGAACGGACGAGAAGCUUGCUUCUCUGAUGUUAGCGGCGGACGGGUGAGUAACACGUGGAUAACCUACCUAUAAGACUGGGAUAACUUCGGGAAACCGGAGCUAAUACCGGAUAAUAUUUUGAACCGCAUGGUUCAAAAGUGAAAGACGGUCUUGCUGUCACUUAUAGAUGGAUCCGCGCUGCAUUAGCUAGUUGGUAAGGUAACGGCUUACCAAGGCGACGAUGCAUAGCCGACCUGAGAGGGUGGUCGGCCACACUGGAACUGAGACACGGUCCAGACUCCUACGGGAGGCAGCAGUAGGGAAUCUUCCGCAAUGGGCGAAAGCCUGACGGAGCAACGGCGCGUGAGUGGUGGAGGUCUUCGGUUCGUAAAACUCUGUAUUUAGGGAAGAACAUAUGUGUAAGUAACUGUGCACAGCUUGACGGUACCUAAUCAGAAAGCCACGGCUAGCUACGUG